CGAAGGGUCGGACUUGUUUAGC
rnacentral:miRNA from 1 species